rnacentral:rRNA from 1 species
CCUGGUUGAUCCUGCCAGUGGUCAUAUGCUUGUCUCAAAGAUUAAGCCAUGCGUGUUUAAGCAGAAGCCGCACAACGGUAAAGCCGCGAAUGGCUCAUUACAACAGCCGUCGUUUCUUGGAUCUCUAAUUUUACUUGGAUAACUGUGGUAAUUCUAGAGCUAAUACACGCACUAAAGCUCUGACCUUACGGAACGAGCGCAUUUAUUAGAACAAAACCAAUCGGGUUUCGGCCCGUUCGUUGGUGACUCUGAAUAACUCUGCCGAUCGCACGGUCUCGCACCGGCGACGUAUCUUUCAAGUGUCUGCCUUAUCAACUUUCGAUGGUAGUUUAUGUGCCUACCAUGGUUGUAACGGGUAACGGAGAAUAAGGGUUCGACUCCGGAGAGGGAGCCUGAGAAACGGCUACCACAUCCAAGGAAGGCAGCAGGCGCGCAAAUUACCCACUCUCGGCACGAGGAGGUAGUGACGAAAAAUAACGAGACGGAUCUCUUUGAGGCCCGUUAUCGGAAUGAGAACAAUUCAAAUCCUUAAACGAGGAUCUAGCGGAGGGCAAGUCUGGUGCCAGCAGCCGCGGUAAUUCCAGCUCCGCAGGUGUAUAUCUAUGCUGCUGCGGUUAAAAAGCUCGUAGUUGGAUCUGCGUGCUCGGAACUGGUUGGCUCACUGAGUUCAAACUGGUCUCCGGCGCUUUAUUGGCUGGUUUUCCCUUGAUGCUCUUAACCGGGUGUCUUGGGUGGCUAGCACGUUUACUUUGAAAAAAUUAGAGUGCUCAAUACAGGCGUAAAGCCUUGAAUAGUGGUGCAUGGAAUAAUAGAAUAGGACCUCGGCUCUAUUUGUUGGUUUUCGGAACGCGAGGUAAUGAUUAAGAGGGACAGACGGGGGCAUUCGUAUUGCGACGUUAGAGGUGAAAUUCUUGGAUCGUCGCAAGACGGACGACUGCGAAAGCAUUUGCCAAGAAUGUUUUCAUUAAUCAAGUACGAAAGUUAGAGGUUCGAAGGCGAUCAGAUACCGCCCUAGUUCUAACCGUAAACGAUGCCAACUAGCGAUUCGCAGGCGUUAAACAACGACCUUGCGGGCAGCUUCCCGGAAACGAAAGUGUUCGGGUUCCGGGGGAAGUAUGGUUGCAAAGCUGAAACUUAAAGGAAUUGACGGAAGGGCACCACCAGGAGUGGAGCCUGCGGCUUAAUUUGACUCAACACGGGAAAACUCACCCGGCCCGGACACCGUAAGGAUUGACAGAUUGAGAGCUCUUUCUUGAUUCGGUGGGUGGUGGUGCAUGGCCGUUCUUAGUUGGUGGAGCGAUUUGUCUGGUUUAUUCCGA